GCGUGGUUCUCUUUCUCAUCAGAUCUGAGCACUUGUCUUCGCGGUCAUAAAGGUCAUAAAGUAGUAGUAAUGAGACUCUCCUCACAGUGCUUGGAGUCUGCUGUAUGGCCUGUGGGCUUCUUGCAAACAAGG
ensembl:snoRNA